UCUCCUCUCACUCCUCCCCAGUCCCUCUUCCCCCUUUCUCUCUCCAUGUACCCACACCAACCCAAAACCACCGCGCCCAAAUCCACCACCAAAUCCACCACUGCCGGUUCGCUCCCUUUCUCUCUCGUCCAUCUUCAUCUUCUUCAAUCAGAGUAGGGGAGAUGCAGUCAUUGCGGCAUUGCCGUCGCUUAAUGGAUCUGCGCCCAAAUAAAAUGGAUCCUUCGGCUAUGACGGAGAAACCCUAGCCGACGGCGACGGCGACGGCGGCCGAUUGUCCUUGAUCUCCCCUUCCCUUCCGACGCCGACCUCGAGCAGCGGUAUCAGGUUUGGGUCUGGUACAGUUGAUAGGAGCAAUAAAAUAUUACGGCACAUUAGAAAACGAGUGAACAGUGACUCGGUUCUUGUAGCGGGUUACUGUAGCAAAUUUAUAAAAUCUUCACAAUAACGAGCUCAUGCGCGAGUCUGGUGCAGCCCUGUUUUUUGAGUUUUGCUCGUUAUUGUAGUUUUGAAGGUGAAGAAGCGAUCCUGAUGUGGAUGCCCUAAGAAGAAGAAGAAGAAGUAAGAAGAAGAAGAAGAAGUAAAGCCAUGGCGAGUAACCAGUCCACUGUGGCAAGGGCGACGUUCCAUCUGCCGUUGGAGAUAACGAUUGAAAUCCUAUCAAGAUUGCCAGUGAAAUCCCUCUUGCGAUUCAAGUCCGUAUGCAAGACCUGGUACGAUCUGAUCGAAACCCCUGAUUUCAUUUCCAAACAUCUUCAAACCCACUCCACUCUCAACUCGACCUCUCUCCUAGUAACCAAUUACAAUCGUGAGACGGAAACCCAUCAAAUGUCUUUGUUGUCCAAUGAUGGGCUUCAUAACCGCCCCAUCAAUCUCGAUUUCCCUUUUCUGAAUGGGAGGAUUAACAAGUAUACUACUGGGAUGGGUUAUUUCUAUAUUGUGGGUAUCUGUAAUGGUUUAGUUUGCAUAAGUUUCUCUCCCUAUGUAUAUCCCUUGAUUCUCUGCAAUCCCUCCACCAGACAACUUCGGGAAAUUGCGAAUUCCAAAUUGCUGGAUGAGAUGGAUUGCUAUGGUUAUGAAAGGGUUAAGCGGGUCACUUUUGGGUUUGGCUUCCAUCCCAGUGCUAAUGAUUACAAGUUGAUUAGGAUUGUGCGUUAUUUUAGUUGCUUUGAGGAAGCCGUUACCCUAGUUGAUCUGUAUGUGAUGAGCACCAAUACUUGGACGAAAAUUGAUGCUAAUAAGCUAUCGGUGCUCUUUGGGGAGAUCAAUGAUUGGGGGGAGUAUGAUAUCAUCGUUGGAUCUACGGCUUCAGCGGUCUUGAAUGGAGUUUUCUAUUGGUCGGCAUUAGUAAUCUCCACCGAUGAAGUUAUUGUCAUGUCGUUCGACAUGGGUGAUGAGGUGUUCAGGAAAAUAAGAACACCAGUGCCCUUAAAUAGGUGUUUUGAUGAAGAUAUUUGGCGCUUUGUAUGUUCCAUGGAUGAAAAGAUCUGGCAAUUUACAGAACUUAAGGAUAAACUUGCUCUGGUUAUUCUUUCGGAUGAAACAUAUCUUGAUGUGUGGGUGUUGAAUGCAGCAGAUCAGAAUUCAUGGACUAACCAAUUUAAAGUUGGAUCUUUUCCGAGGAUUUCAUGUUAUGGGAGAUUUGGUGAUAAUGGUGAAAUUAGAGUGGUGGGAUGUGCAAAAAAUGGUGAAUUGGUUCUGACAGACCAUAGUGGAAGUGGUGACUUAAAGCUCUUUUCGUAUGAUACAGAGACCUUGAAAAGAACAGAUCUUUAUUUUGGUUGGGUUCCUUAUCGAUCUGCUUGCUACUUGUAUACGGAGACCCUGCUCUCAGUCAUGCAAACCAACGGAAGCAUUGAACUUGUGUAACUAACUCAGGUGUGAGCUCAUGUUUUGAAAGCUUUCACUUUCUUUCUUAUUUUUGGUGUGGUAGGUCAUAGUAUUCUCUUUUGAAGCGUUGAUGUAUGGGGUUAGAAUGAAGUGGGAGAUCCUGGAAGCUAUUGAAACUUGAAAGUUGGACAUUUUCUGCAUAUUGCAGGCCCUGUGGGACGUAGAGAAAAUGAUUCGAUCAGACCGGUGGGAUGCGCUAAUUAUGGUGAAAUCACAGUGAAAGACGCUAAAAGAAUCAGGCAAGUAAAACCUCAUUUUGGAUCAUCCUACGAGCAAAGACAAGAAUCUUGUUUUGGCUCAGUUUGGGUACCCUUACGGCAUUAUUCUUACACGGAGACUCUACUUCCAGUCACAAAAAUAUGUCAAGCACUAUGAUGAACUCGUGCUUAACAAGAAGAAACAAGAGAAAAUGUAGUGAUGAAUUCAUGUAAAAGACUCCUUGUCAGCUGCAUCUGUGAAGGCUUUCUCUACUUAUGGUUGUCUAAGGAGCUUAGUUUUUGUUUUUGUGCUGGAUUGAAGCUGCAUUAACUUGACUAUAUAUUGAUCUUUACGUACUUUUUCACUAAUAUAAUUUAUGGUGUCCCAUUUACGAGCCUGAAAA